AGGGGGAGAUGUGAAGGAAGAUGACUCAUAAUCUUCCAAACAAACCACCCAGAGAAACUGACCGCCGAGAUCAAGGGUAUAUUUCACAGGCACAAGUGGGGUUCUUUGGUUGAUUUGAGUGAGGUAUUGGAGAGUUGAUGCAUCUUUGGUGACGGGAAGAAUUAAUGCUUUUGGUCUAAAAGAUGUUUGGGCUAUGCAGGGAGAGAUGAUCACGGAAAGGACAAGUGAGCAAAAGAGAAGAUAAUUGUAAGAGAGAGCCAUAUCUUUGGCUCUAAGUGCUGCGUUGUGGAUAGAGUACUGCGGUAGAGUUGUGAGCAGCCAGCUGAAUUUAUAGUAGAUUUCUGAACGCGUAAAAGCUUUCAGUCAUGACAAAAUCCAAAUUGCACAAGUUGACAAGUUGUAACAAUUAAUGGGUAUUCUUCAAAUUCUAUAACGGCUGCUAGCCACCAAUUGGCAAAAGCAAUUAAUUGUCUCUGGCUGGCAUAGCUCAGAUCAGUAAACUGGUAAUAACAAGCAGUACGUAAUUUUUCACUUUUGAUGCACAUAUAUAUAAAGAAAAUAAUAUUUUUUUUUUAUAUUAAUCACGAGGUAUCCUGAGGAGGGCUCCAACUGUGGGAGGCACCUUUAACCCCGUACCACAACCCAGAUUAGAAGUCUCCGCUCGAAUCGGGAGGCACAGAUUCUCCCAACAAAGGCGACUUCCCUGCGACUUGAACUGGGGAGCAAACCCAGUCAAGCCACUUAAGGGGACUCUAUUGUCAGUGGAGCCAACACUUUGUUGGAUAUAAAGAAAAUAAUAUGGUAACAAUUAAUUCUAUUCAUAGAAUUGGUCAAACAGAGUCGUCAAUCAUAAAUUUACGUUGCUUGAUGAAUCGAUGAUCACAUUGUUGCCAACGAUCGCAAUUCUUAGCCCCUGACAGUGAAGAAAUUGUAAAACUGAAUAAAUGCUGCUGUUUGGCAGCUGAGAAAAUGCAGAGGAAAAUUCUUUAUUUUAGUAAUGAAUUGAUAUUUUGUACAUACCAACAAUCACGAAACGUGCAGCUAUUUAUACAUGCUACACUUACUAACUAAUUGCUUACUAACUAAUUAUUAAUCACAAGCUCACUCAGCUAAUCAAAUAACAGAAUACAGAGUAUGCAUUGUGAUGUUAGUUAGGCUGGUAACUGCUGCUGACGUGGACCUUCUGACGUGGCACAAAUGACAGCUGGUAACUUGACACGCUGACUCUUCUUCCUCACUUCUGCACAAUGAGCUAUCUUCACAGCCCCCCUCAAACUCAAAGGACAUGAAAAGACAUUGAGUUUGUCCCUUAAAUAAUUGAACUGAGGGGAAGAUAAAGGCUUGGUUAAGAUAUCUGCAAUCUGAUCUUCACUUGGCACAUAACAGAUUUUGAGAUCACCAGAUAACACUUUGUCUCGAAUAAAAUGAACAUCAAUCUCAAUGUGUUUGGUUCUUGAAUGGAACACAGGAUUCUUUGCUAGCUCUGUUGCACUUAUAUUAUCACACCAUAUUGUUGGUCUCUCUACACAGUAUACUUCCAUUUCCAGAAACAAUGACUUUAACCAAGCUAUCUCUGAAGCAGCUGAAGCAAGUGCUCUAUAUUCACUCUCAGCUGAAGACUUAGUGACUACUGUUUGCUUCUUUGAAGACCAUGAAAUCAGAUUAUUUCCAAGAUACACACAGUAGGCUCCAAUCGACUUCCUAUCAUCCAAGUCACUUCCCCAAUCUGCAUCAGUGAAUGCAGUGAUUUUCAAAUCACCAUCCUUUACAAACUUUAAGCCAUAAUCCUGUGUCUCCUUCAGGUAUUUAAGAACCCUUUUACAAGCCAUGAGAUGUUGCAUAGUUGGUGCAUAAACAUAUUGGCUCAACUUGUGAACAGAAUAAGCAAUUUCUGGUCUUGUCAAUAUCAGAUACUGGAGACCACCUACAAUGCUUCUAUAAUGAGUUGCAUCUUCAACAUAGUAACCCAAUUCUCCUUUAACUACCUUCUGCAACUUUGAGUCUUUGCCACUGCACAUUGGUGUUGUCACUCCUUUACACUCAAGCAUGUCUACUUUAGCAAGCAAAUCUCUGAUAUACUUCUUCUGAGACAAAUAAAUGCAAUCCUGACCAUACAACACUUCUAUACCAAGGAAAUAGGACAAUCUUCCUAGAUCUUUCAAUGCAAAAACAGUAUUAAACUGUUGUAUGAAGCUGUCCAAUUCUUCACUGUUAGGUCCAGUAACUAAUAUGUCAUCAACAUAUAUCAAUACCAUAAUGAGUGACACUUUAGUUUUUCUUAAGAAUAAGGAAGAAUCAGAUUUUGAAUUUCUGAAACCCCAUUGAAGAAGACAUCCCCUGAGCUUUUCAAACCAGGCUCUAGGAGCUUGCUUAAGACCAUAUAAAGCUUUGUGUAAUCUACAAACAUAGUUAGAUUUACUCUUAUCAACAAAGCCUUCAGGUUGCUGCAUAAACACUUCCUCUGAUAACUCACCAUUCAAGAAUGCAUUGUUGACAUCCACCUGUCUAACUAUCCACUGAUUCAUCACUGCAAGACUAAGAACUACUCUCACUGUUGCUGGCUUUACCACUGGGCUAAAGGUAUCAAAGUAAUUCACACCUUCAAUCUGUUGAAACCCUUUUGCCACCAAUCGAGCCUUAUACUUAGCUACACUGCCAUCAGUGUUAUACUUUAUUCUAUACACCCACUUAUUCCCAACAACUUUCUGAUUUUCUGUUCUUGGUACUAGAGACCAAGUUCUGUUUUCAAUUAGUGCAUCAUACUCAUUUUUCAUAGCUGUAAACCAAUUUGUGUCUUGCAAAGCUUCAUCAACUGAAUCUGGCUCUUUGUGAACUAACACUGCAGUAUACAUUUUUGGCUUAAAAAUACCUGUUUUUCCUCUUGUGGUCAUGGGGUGAUUGUUUUGAACAUGUUGAAUAUUGUUUGAGGUUAUUUGGGACUGAGAUGGUAAUGUAAUUUGAGUAGGAUCUGUAGUGUUUGGUGAGUCUAGAUCAUGAACAGGUUCAAGAGCAGGAUUGAGAUUUGGUGUUUGACAUUGUGUAGCUUCAUUUGCUUGUUGAUAAUCUGCUGAUGAGAACAGUUCUGUGCUGCUGGAACAUGCUGGAGAGUAGGAUUCAAAACUGCUGUUAUAAGGAUUUGACACAACAGGAAGAUUGGAUAAAUUGAAAACUUGAUGAGGGGACAAAGCAGAGAUGGAUAUUGAUUGUGUUUUGUUCUCAGAAUUGAAAGCAGGAUCUGAAGAAAAAGGAAAUGCAUUUUCAUCAAAUAUGACAUGCCUUGCUAUGUAUACACGACCAGAAUGAUGAAGGCAUUUAUAUCCUUUGUGAGCAGGGCUAUAACCAAUGAAUAUGCAUUUACUUGUGUGAAAAUCAAAUUUAUGCUUAUUGUAAUCUCUCAAAUAUGGAUAGCAAGCACAACCAAAACAUUUCAGCAUCUUAUAAUCAGCUUUAUGUUUGAAAAGUUUUUCAUAUGGUAUCAACAUUUUAAGAGCUGAAGUUGGUAACCUAUUGAUAUGAUACACUGAAGCAUGGAAGGAAUCCCACCAAAAAUGCAAAGGGAGUUUGGCUUGAGCUAACAAUGUAAGACCCAAUUCUACCACUUGUCUAUGUUUUCUCUCAACUAAGCCAUUCUGAUGAUGAGUAUGAGGACAAGAGUGCCUAAAUAAAAUGCCACACUGAUUUAAAAAUUCAGUGAAUGAUCUGUAUUCUCCCCCCCAGUCAGAUUGCAGUAUCUUAAUGGUUGUUUGGAAUUGGUUUUCAACUUGUAACUUGUAUAGCUUAAAAACCUCUAAAGCUUCUGAUUUCAAUUUCAAUGGGUAGAUCCAAGUAUAUCUAGUGAAAUCAUCAACAAAACUAAUAUAAUAUCUAAAACCUUCUCUUGAAAUAACUGGUGAGGGACCCCAAAGAUCAGUGUGUAUGAGCUCAAGAGCUGAUUUGGUUUUGAUUUCUGUAACUGGGAAAUGCAACUUGUGUAUCUUACCCAACUGACAUGCUUCACAGAAAUGUUGUGUUGCUUGCUUAACCAUAUUCAGAGAAAACUUAUCAGCAUGAUGGAGUUUAAGUAAAUGCAAUAAGCUUUGAGAAUUUGGGUGGCCAAAUCUUCUGUGUAGAAGAGCUAUUUUAUUAGGCUUAUCAGAACAUACAUCAAAACCAUUCUGUAAACAAUUGUUUGAAUUAUUUAGGUACUUUACAGAUGGCAUAUGAGAAGCAAGAUGACAGAAUGAUAACAUUGACAGAGGUUUAUUAGCUUGACUAUGAGACAGAGGAGAAUUCUUGGUAGAAGACAUAGGUUUAACCAGCAGUUUAUACAACCCUUUCUCAGCAAUGCCCUGCAUUAGAACUUGUCCCUUCAGCAAAUCCUUCACAAUACAAAAUGAUCCAAGAAAUUCAACAGAAAUGUUAUUGUCAGUGGUAAGUUUUGAAAUGCUUAUUAAGUUCUUGGUGAUAGAGGGAACAAGCAAGAUAUCUUUAAGUGCAAUAUGUAAAUCUGCAGGUUGAGAUUUUGAAUUCUUGAAUGAAAAAUAAGAGUCACCAAUAUGAGUUAUUGACAAACCUUCACCAUUGCCAAUAAUGAGCUUCUCAUUACCUCUAAACGCAUCUCUGAUAUUCAGAUUUCCCAUGCUAUUUGUCAGAUGAUGAGUGGCACCACUGUCUAGGUACCAACCUUCAUCUGCAGGUCCUUCACAAUAUGCAGCAGAAGCAGUUCCAACCCAGGGCAUACCAGAAUUAUCAGAUGCACAAGGAUAUCCAGACUGUGACAUGUGUAAUCCAUUAUUGUUGACAGGCCAUGGAUCAUCAUUUGUUGGAUAGUAAGGUAUGUAUGCAGGUUCAUAGUUAGCUAUAUAGGCAGACUUUGAACCUUUUCCUCUCUGAAAUUGUCUUGGUGACUGAGGUAUGUAAUUCUUUUCAAAUCUAUGCCAGCAUUCAACAGCUGUAUGUCCUACUUUGAAGCAAAUCUGACAUGUAUUCAUAGAAUCAUCACUGUUGGAUACUUGUGACUCAAAAGGGGGUAAAUUUCCAGUACCAUUGAAACCAGUACUGCCAAAAGAGCCUCUUCCAGAAGAACCAAAUCUAUUGCUUCCCAUCAUCAUUUGAUUUCUUCCUUGAUUACCAAAAUGACCAGUUCCAGCAGGAAAACCCCUUGGAUGAGAAUUCAAAAACAUUCCUCUACCAUUAAACAUACCAUUUCUACCACCUGAGUGACCAUUAUAAUUACCCUGGACACCUCCUCUCCUAGUAAGACCUCUUAUUUGAGCAUAGUAUGCAUUCAUCAUACUAUUAUUAUUCCAGUUAGACAUAUUAGCAUAGUUUGCAUUAAUCAUGUGCUUUUCACUUUGAUUUUGUUCAAGCCUAGCCUCAUGAGUAAGUAAUAGGGCAUAAGCAUCAUCAUAUUCCAAUUUGCUUGCUGUGAUAAAGGUAGCUAAAUCCAAAUAUCCAGCUCCUAGACCAUUGAGGAUUUGCUGCAACAUAUCUCUAUCUGAUACAGGACUACCAGCACAUGCUAAUUUGUCUGUAAUUUGUUUCAUUUUUAAGCAAUAUUCUUCAAUACUUAGUGAAUCUUUUCUUAAGACACUCAUCUCGUACUUAAGUUGAAGAACUCUAGCCUCAGAUUGUACACCAAACCUUUUCUCUAGUGUUUUCCAUAUAUCAAAUGAAGUAGUGCAUGAGUGAACUAAACUGAGAAUACCUUCAGUUAUUGAGCUAAGAAGCCAGCUGAGUAAUGUUUGAUCUUGAGAUCUCCAGAUUGUGUAUUCAGGAUUCUCGAUCUGUUGAGAAGAGCUAGCAACUGAAGAUGCUAUGAAUUGGUUUGGUGCAAUCUUUUCUCCAUUAAUGUAUCCUUCAAGUCGAUUUCCUCUAAUGGAGGCCAGGACUUGAUUUUUCCAGAGCAUGUAAUUAGAUCUAUCCAAUUUGAUUGGUGUGAUGAAAGAAAAAGUUGUCUGAUUCGUAGCUACUGUAUUGUGAUUGUUUGUAAUAGCCAUGAUUGGCUCUGAUACCAUGAAGAAAUUGUAAAACUGAAUAAAUGCUGCUGUUUGGCAGCUGAGAAAAUGCAGAGGAAAAUUCUUUAUUUUAGUAAUGAAUUGAUAUUUUGUACAUACCAACAAUCACGAAACGUGCAGCUAUUUAUACAUGCUACACUUACUAACUAAUUGCUUACUAACUAAUUAUUAAUCACAAGCUCACUCAGCUAAUCAAAUAACAGAAUACAGAGUAUGCAUUGUGAUGUUAGUUAGGCUGGUAACUGCUGCUGACGUGGACCUUCUGACGUGGCACAAAUGACAGCUGGUAACUUGACACGCUGACUCUUCUUCCUCACUUCUGCACAAUGAGCUAUCUUCACAGACAGAGAUACAACUAAAAUCAACACAAAGUACGUAACAUAAAGCGAAAAUCCCAUUUACGGUUUGCAAUAACUCUGUUCAUUAACAUUCUUCUCAUGUAGUGGGAUUAAUUUAUGGUGGCUAAGCUAAGCAUGAUUACUUGUACUUCCAUCAUCUACGUAAGGCUUCAUAUUUCAUUAAUAUGUACGGCUAGGCGACUAACUCCAAACAUUCUAUUUUACAGUUGGUGGAAUGGUUGCUAACCGUACUGUAGUUGAUGACUAAGCUGGCUAAUUUUUGGGUGCUGAUCUAGACUCUUUCACUUGGUGAGAUUAUGCUGCUCCUGCGGCUGACAUUCUGUCUCUGACUUCUGCUAAGUUAAUUGCCCCUUAUAUUUUUGUUUUCUAAAUUGUCUGGCUUUUUUUUUUUUUUCGCGGUUUUGAGGAUUAUGUCUGGUCUGGUCUCUCCCCCUGCUUCUUUGCUUUGUGCUGCUACUUUCUUUAUUUAUUUUAAUAUAUCUCCCUCAAAUUUUUGAGGUUAAUUCAAAUUUUUUUUUUAAAAAAACUAACCGUAUACUUCAUCGUUUAGGCAACGUGUGAUAUGAAAAUAAACAUUUAUUAAUAUAAAUAUUAAUUCAUACUAACCUUAAUUAGUUAAUUAAUUUUACCAAAUGAAAAAGGGUUUUGGUCAUUUCCUAUUUAGAAGUUAGAAAAGUAUUUUCUAUUUUGAUCAUUAAUUUCUUAUCUCUUUUUUUUUUUUAAUAAGCUUUCCUAAUCCUAAUUAGAAUAGUAUCUUAAUUUUAUAUUGCUAUACAUACACAUAUGGCAGAAAAUUAUGAAAAGUUGAGUAUAGAUAAGCUCAACAUGGAUUAAAUCUAUUUUAUAAACCACUCUAAAUCACUAUAAGCCAAAUGUUAGAGAAAGAUCAAAUCAUAUUAUUGAGAGAAACUAACAAGGAAGACUCAUUUGUGACAUGUGAGAGUAAACAAGAGGUGGGAUUUCCUAAUUAAAAAUAGAGGCUUGCUAUAAACAAAUUCUCCGUACAAGAAUAUGUAAGAUAGUUGGGUUUUGGUCAAAUAAGAACAAAAAAUCUAAUUGUGAAAAGUCACAACGAAUCACUUAUAAAAAAUCACAAUAUUUGGUGAUGUCUCGGUGUUUAAAAGCCUAUAUAAGGACAAGGGAGAUGGCUUUCAAUAAUAAUCUCAUUCUUAAAAAAAAUAUAUUGUCUAUUUUUCUUACAACAAUUCUUAUCCUUAUCAAUUUCCUACAAGAACAGAAAAUUUACUAGAUAUAAAGUGUUCAUAUUCUCUUAGUGGGUUCUUCACUUUUGUUUGGUGCAGAUUCACAUUAAAGACUUGUCAUAUCCUAGUAGAGAUUGCUUAUAGGUUAAGAGACUUGUCGGUAAACCUAUAAGCAAUCUCUACCACGAUGGGACAAAUAACCCUUAAGAAAAGCAUAUUCGAUACAUGUUUCAAGUCUCCAUCCACUCCUGCUAUUAUUUUUAACAAAGGUCCCUACACAAAAUUCAAGAACCCAUUGUUCACUAGACGGUUGGACAAGUUUAGGCAAUACGGAUUGUGGGAACGAUCUGAAGAUUUUUAUCCCAAUGAUGAUAUCCCAUACACCAUUGGCGUCAGCAAUAACACUCGAGAAUGGUUCUUUGCUCAUGUUACUAGCAAAGUUGGAAAUAGCACAUUCCAACCUACCCACGGCAGAUUAUAUUUCAAUUGGAGAACGUCAGCAGCAAGGGAAAUUACACACUCCAAUUGGCCUUGUCAGCAGCUUCAUACUCUAAUUUACGGCUUCAGUUUAAUUUCAAUAUUUGUCAAAGAGACAGGCGACCUCUAUUCUCGACGUGGACAAUAGCAAAGGACAAUGCCAUUACUAGACAUGGGAUUCAUGGCUUGUGUAGAUUUUACGUCAUCAACGUGCCAAGCUAUUUGCUUUACAGAGGAAACAAUACAAUCUAUCUUACUUAGUCAAGAAAUAACAGCCAAUAAAUAACUGACCCUUCCUAGGGGUCGUGUAUGAUUCUAUUGGCUUUGGAGAACCACCAAAUUCCAACGACAGAAAGUAGAUUAUAUUCUAGAGGCAUUAAAAGAUGAAAAAUUACCAUGUAUAAAGAAACUGAAGGACCUAUAAGUCGUUUUUUCAUUUUUCUUCUUUUCUUAAAUUGAAGUACGUACAAGUUUAAAAAAUAAAUAGAAAAAUAGACCAUAAAUAUAGUAUAACUUUGUUAAAUUAAUAAUUUUGAUUAAAAACUUUAAUGAAAUAACAGUUUUUGUCGGUCCCAACUUAGGGCUAGCAUGAUAAAUUAAUAAUUCGAUAAAUUUAUUAGAUAAUAAAUUUUUCAAAAAAAAAAUCAUUUUCCUACAGGACCCAAUUAAUACAUAAAUUAAUUAAUGCUUAACUAAUUUAAAACUAAGUACGUAUGAUAUGUUUAUGAUUUUCUUUGUUGCACAUAUAUAAUGUUUUAUGCAUUUCAUUAGUCAUUGUUGCUUUCAUUAUACUUUUCAAAUGAGAACCAAUUUUUGUACUCCAUAUAGCUAUGUUAAGAGAGGUAAAGAAGAGAUCGACUUAAUAUAUAACCUCCCAAAAAUCUUCUCUAUGUUUUAUCAUGUAAUUGUCAUCCAGCCAAAUAAUUAUCAAAUGAUUGAUUCAAUCAUUCAAAAUCAAAUGAGAAUGGUGUCUUACAGCUUGAUAGAACCACUACAUUAUCUAAUUACACUGCCUUUAUAUUUCAUUAAAGUUCCUAUUAUGAAUGAGAUAUUAUCUUUAUAAAUUAGCAAAUAAUAGAUUUAUUGAUAUACUAAUAUUUGCUAAAUAUAUUUUUCAUAGUUCCAAAAUUAUUAAUUUUAUCAACGUUCUAUUCUAUAUAAUUAAAAGUAAGUAACAAUUCUUGGAUGAAGUACUACGAUUUCCGGUAGAAAAAGCUAUGAGACGAAUUUUUGUGGGUUCUUAUAAUGUAUUAGUUCCUCGUGAAUAUGUCCAUACCAAUCAACUAAAAUAAAAAUAAAAAAUUUAAUAGUUAAAUGCUUAUUUAAAAGGUGGUAGUUUGUGUUAGUUUUCUCCGAAAAACCUUAACUAUGUAUUUUAUUUUCUGAAAAUAUUCUUAAAAAUUUCAAAUCUGAAAAAAAAAAUUGAAAGAAUGUUUUGAACCAGAUUAAAAGAAAGAAGUUUACAAUAAUUUUUUCAUAUUUGAAUGUCAUGUAUAUAACGGAAUGAAAUUAUUAUGGGAGAGAAAUUAAAGUCUCACGUAGGGAUGGCAAUGGGGCAGAUAUGGGUUGGAUUUACUCUGCUCCAGAUCCAAAUCCAUAAUAAAAAUCAAGAUCCGUAUCUGCUCCAGAUCCGUCAUGAAUCCAUAUUUUUCGCUCCAUAUCCAGAUCCAAAAAAGAAAUAAAUAUCUAUAUCUGCUCCAAAUCCGAAAAAAAAAAUUAAAAUCCAAAUAUGCUCUAGAUCCGUCAUGAAUUCUAAAAUUCAGUAAUAAAAAAGUAAUAAUUUUUUAGAUUGAAAAUUGAAGGCUAAAAUGUAUUGAUAACAAAUAAAUUAUAUAAUUUUUCUCAAAAAUAUAAUAAAUAUUGUAGCUUAUACUUUUACACCAAAACAACAAAUAAGAAAGAUAAUAAAAUAUCAUUAUGAAGUAAUUGCAGGAGUAAGAUCAAUCUAAUAUUCUAUUGUCUCCUUCAUCAUUCUAAUAUCUACGAUACACCUACCCUCAUUCCUACAACAUUAGAUAAUGAUAUAUAAAUUAAAUAUGAUUUAUAUUCAGUCCUUUAUUAUUUUUAUUAUGACCAUAUUUGACUAAAUAUAUGAAUAACUAUAUUCCUUAAAAAUUAUUUGGCUAAUAUAAUAAAAUAAAUUGCCAGGUUAUAUUACUUGGCUUGCAAUUUGAAUAUUGCAUGUACAUGCUUUGAGGUUGGCUGACUUUUAAAUUUACAAAACUAACCUUUAAGUUUUAAGAGUUUAAAUGCAUGGUAAAUACUACUAAUAUGUUAUGAAUAAAAUUUAUUAUCAUUAUAAUUUCACAAUUGUUAAGAAACUUUUAAAAUAAAAUAAAAUUAAAAGAUGAGUGGAUAUGGAUAUGGAUUUAGAUAUUAAGAUAGAUCCAUAUCUGCUCCAGAUCCGUCUUAGAUCCGCACAUCGAUAUCCAAAUCCGAUCCAAAUCCGAUCCGAUUGGAUUUGGGUCACGUGGAUCUUGGAUCAGAUCCAAUCCAUUGCCAUCCCUAGUCUCACUCUCACGUAGAAUUUUUGUGUUUGAGAAGACUAAAAAUUUGUAAAAUAUAACUAAAUUAAGAAAAAAAAGGUUAUUUUUUGGUAACAUAUAUGUAUUUUUUUUUAUAUUACUUUGUUGUUAACAUUAAACAAAUAAAAAUAUGAUAACCAAAAAAAAUUUAUUAGCAUUUACGUGGCAUGACUAUUUGUUUGAAAUUUGGGAAAGACAACGAAAAACAUGAUGCAAUAUAUCACAGCAUUGUAUUCUCGACUCACACCGAAAGCCAAACAAGGGAAAGUUUUAUUGGAAAAACAGAAAUGUAAUUAACCACGUGACAAUUUAUUUAUUACAUAAUCUUGAAAAUGAAGAACGCAAACAAUUGCUAAUCAAGCAGUAGAUGUGAAGUUAAAAUUGGAACAUGUUGUCCGACGGAACAGGAGAGAAGAGCUGAAGCCUAGCCUUGAUGUGGCCAAAUCAAACUGCAGAAGAUUGUCUUCCAAUUGAUGUCCUCCGAUCACAAUUGAAGUCCUAGGAUUCACUCCACCGUCCACAAAACCAAGGCACAUCACGUUGCUUUUGACUUGCACCAUUGAGUUUGCACCAAAAAUUCUCCAGUACACGUCGCUGCUUUGCAAGACAAGAUCGAUCUGAGGCACUGCUGGGCCGACACGUGUGCUGCCAAUGCGGGUAGAAUCAAAGCACGCCCCAAAAGGUGAAACUGAAUCGACUCUAGGCGCAUUAGCCAACUCUUUGGUGAAAGCUUUAACGAAAGCUUCGUAGAUUGAUGACUCCAACACUGUGUAAGGAUGGACGGUGCUGAUCUUGGUUCCGCCGACACCGUUUUUGUCAAUAGAUAGCAAAGAAGUGUUUAACGGGACAACAUGUCCGUUGAUUUUAACGGACUUGACUCCAAUGAAGUAAUCAGUUGAAGGUCGGGGCCUGAAAAGAAGAGUUGCUGUGGACACAGGAUUGAGGAUAAGUGGGGUGUAUAUGAGGGACGUGGAAACGUCAACACCAGGGAGCAUCACAUAAGGCCCGUCGCCAAAGAAGACAGCACCGCUAGCUUUGGUAGAAGAGCUCAAGCAAAUGGCAAAUUUUCUAGGAAAGCUGAAAGCAGAAGAGAACAGAGAUGGAAGUGAAAUUGAGUUUCUUCCAAGGCCAGCCAUGCCCCUAACACCGUUAGCGAGAUCUGUCAAAUGAAACCUAUCGGCACACACAAAGAGGAGCUUAGGCACCGAAACAACUCUACCCGGGUUCUUCCCGUUAGUAGACUGGAUAGACGCGACAUCCAUGGACAACGGGCCAUUGAAACUAAUGCCAUUUAUAGUGUUAUCCGGUAAGAGAUUGCAGGUAUUGUUGUUGCAGCCUGGCCUAGGUUGAGAAUCAGAGCAAUCCCAACAAAAUGGAGCAUUAGCAAGAGAGCAUGGAGCGGAGUGGCAAGGGGGAGAUGUGAAGGAAGAUGACUCAUAAUCUUCCAAACAAACCACCCAGAGAAACUGACCACCGAGAUCAAGGGUAUAUUUCACAGGCACAAGUGGGGUUCUUUGGUUGAUUUGAGUGAGGUAUUGGAGAGUUGAUGCAUCUUUGGUGACGGGAAGAAUUAAUGCUUUUGGUCUAAAAGAUGUUUGGGCUAUGCAGGGAGAGAUGAUCACGGAAAGGACAAGUGAGAAAAAGAGAAGAUAAUUGUAAGAGAGAGCCAUAUCUUUGGCUCUAAGUGCUGCGUUGUGGAUAGAGUACUGAGCAGCCAUUAUAUAAGAUUUGUGAACGCGUUGAAGCUUUUGUCCACGACUAAAUCCAAUUUAUUCAUCCAUUCGGUGCAGACAGUCUGUAUUUGAAAAUUACACGAGUUGACAAGUCCAAAACAAUCGGCUGCUAACAACCAAUGGACUAAUUUCUAAAAUUAGAUAAAUUUUUGGAUUAUCUUUAACCUAUUAUAUCAACCAUUUAAUAAAUAAAUAGUAUUAUAUACACACACAUUUAUUUUAAAGAACCAGAUGCAAUUGGCGGUUAUAUAAAAUUUAAUUACACAUGUUAUACAUGAAUUAAUCAAUUAUAAUACAUCUAAUAUAUCACAAAAAUUCCUUCUAAGAAAUUGAGUAGAGGUAUUGAUGGGUAGAAUGGAUUCUCCUUUAAAAUGUAUGAAAGUAGAAAUGUAAACUGUAUCAUGGUAGAUUUAAUUUAAAUUUCUAAUCGUAAACAAAAAUUGUAAUACCCAAAAUAUUUUUUUAUAAAAUAAAAAAAAAAAAGCUCAACCGUAGAUAAUCAAUGACUAGCCAUCCCUAAAUCAAUGACUUGGGCCGGUUUCUUCUGGAUCAACUUCAGAAUAGCCCUAGUCUGCUUCUUAAAAGAGGACAUAAAGCUAACCAUGAUUCUAUUUCCACCCCCUAAAAACACUUAUAAAACCCUCUUUGUUAAUGUUAAUUACAAAAGUAUCCCUGCACAUUUAUUUUUGAGAACUCUCGAGCCAUUCACUCUCUCCUCAAGGUAGCACAAUAAUGCUGCAUUUAUCAAACUGGAAUCGGAAUGAGUUGGAAUUGGAUUGGAUAGGAAUGGAAAUAGGCUGGAAUUGGAAUGGAGAAUGAGAAUUAUAAUAAGUUGUUUUCUUGAACUAUAGGAAUCAGAAUCAGAAUAAAUUACAUUGUUAUAAAUUACUAACAAGUCCUUAAUUAUUGUUAAUAAUAAUAAUGACAUUAUUGACAAUACUAAUAAUAAAUAAUAAUAAUUAAUAAAUUUUAAAUAAUAUUAAUAUUAAUGUCAUUAAUGACAGUAAUAAUAACAAUUAAAAUAAUAAUAAUUAAUUAUUGUUGUGAUUUAAUUUCAUUAUUAUUAUAUUAAUGUUAUUUAAAAUAUAUUAUUAUAAUUAAUUUCAUUAUUAUUAUUAUUAUUAUUAUUAUUAUUAUUAUUAUUAUUAUUAAAUAAUGAAGGACCUACUUGCGAAUUACACAAACUUCCAAUUUUUUUUUUUAAAAUUUGGUUACGGGAAGAAUUAAUGCUUUUGGUCCAAAAGAUGUUUGGGCUGUGCAGGGUGAGAUGAUCGCGGAAAGGACAAGUGAGCAAAAGAGAAGAUAAUUGUAAGAGAGAGUCAUA
rnacentral:lncRNA from 1 species